ensembl:lncRNA
CAAUUUUAAUGAGGAAUAUUAGCACCUGAUCACAUAUUACAUACCAAAUCUAUGAUCUUCCUUCCAUCCUGCUUCCCUUUCCUUUUUCUCUCUCUUUUUUCCUUCCUUAUCAUUUGUGCUUCUUUGAUUGCUAGCUAUACACAGGUUUUAUAAUCACUUUAAGGGACUAAGAGGCCACAGAAGCCUUGAGGUUUCAGAAGCCAGAUAACAGAAACACGAAGGAGUCAGCAGUGUUAACAGAAGAAACAGAAGCUGAAGGGAAGCUGAAGACACAUCCUGGGUCUGAGAUCAGAGGAAUAGCCACUCUCACUAAAUCAAAGUCUGAGCCAAAAUGGUGUCCACAUCCCUUGAAAAGAAUUAGAGGAUGAUAAUGUUUUUUGGUGAGCUGCGAUUGGCACAUGACCUCACAAGCUGCCAUUGAGGAGUGUGUCUGGAGGAGUCAUUAAAGACCAGGACAGUGAAUCCCAACAGGAGGAACUGGGUCACUAGAAGCAAGGGGAUUUGCCAAAUCCAUGUAAGCAGCGCUUCAGAUUCAUCUUCCCAAGUCUCCAGCCAUGCCUUCCCUGUUGUCUGAGAGUCUGGACCAAAAUAGAACCUGUGUAUUUUAUGUUGCUUCUUAGGGAUUUAGUCAUGGCAAUAAAAGUAAUGGAGUGCUUGGAGAUGGGAAGUGAAAACCUUCUUUUUUGAUUGUGAAGAGCCAUGAUGAUUGUCUCAUUUCUU